rnacentral:rRNA from 1 species
UACGUAGGUGGCAAGCGUUGUCCGGAAUUAUUGGGCGUAAAGCGCGCGCAGGCGGUCCUUUAAGUCUGAUGUGAAAGCCCACGGCUCAACCGUGGAGGGUCAUUGGAAACUGGGGGACUUGAGUGCAGGAGAGAAGAGUGGAAUUCCACGUGUAGCGGUGAAAUGCGUAGAGAUCAGCAGGAAUACCCGUGGCGAAGGCGGCCCCCUGGGCCGACCCUGACGCUGAGGCGCGAAGGCUAGGGGAGCGAACGGG